CCUACGGGAGGCAGCAGUGGGGAAUAUUGGACAAUGGGCGAAAGCCUGAUCCAGCCAUGCCGCGUGUGUGAAGAAGGUCUUCGGAUUGUAAAGCACUUUAAGUUGGGAGGAAGGGCAGUAAGCGAAUACCUUGCUGUUUUGACGUUACCGACAGAAUAAGCACCGGCUAACUCUGUGCCAGCAGCCGCGGUAAU
rnacentral:rRNA from 3 species